rnacentral:rRNA from 1 species
AUUGAACGCUGGCGGCAGGCUUAACACAUGCAAGUCGAGCGGGGUGAUGGUGCUUGCACUAGCACUUAGCGGCGGACGGGUGAGUAAUGCUUAGGAAUCUGCCUAUUAGUGGGGGACAACAUCUCGAAAGGGCUGCUAAUACCGCAUACGUCCUACGGGAGAAAGCAGGGGAUCACUUGUGACCUUGCGCUACUAGAUGAGCCUACGUCGGAUUAGCUAGUUGGUGGGGUAAAGGCCUACCAAGGCGACGAUCUGUAGCGGGUCUGAGAGGAUGAUCCGCCACACUGGGACUGAGACACGGCCCAGACUGCUACGGGAGGCAGCAGUGGGGAAUAUUGGACAAUGGGGGGAACCCUGAUCCAGCCAUGCCGCGUGUGUGAAGAAGGCCUUAUGGUUGUAAAGCACUUUAAGCGAGGAGGAGGCUCUUUUGGUUAAUACCCAAGAUGAGUGGACGUUACUCGCAGAAUAAGCACCGGCUAACUCUGUGCCAGCCGCCGCCGUAA